rnacentral:rRNA from 1 species
CGGCCGGUCUAAGUUCCUUGGAACAGGACGUCAUAGAGGGUGAGAAUCCCGUAUGCGACCGGCAGCGCACCCGUCACGUAGCUCCUUCGACGAGUCGAGUUGUUUGGGAAUGCAGCUCUAAAUGGGAGGUAAAUGCCUUCUAAAGCUAAAUACCGGCCAGAGACCGAUAGCGCACAAGUAGAGUGAUCGAAAGAUGAAAAGCACUUUGGAAAGAGAGUUAAAAAGCACGUGAAAUUGUUGAAAGGGAAGCGCAUGCAACCAGACUUGU